rnacentral:rRNA from 1 species
AGAAAUCAGGGUGAGCCUCCCCGGAGAUGGGCAGUUGAAUUCUUUUGGGGAUAACCGUGAGGGCAGCUGAAGACUGUACAAUAAGCACCGGUAACUCCGUGCCAGCAGCCGCGGUAAUACGGAGGGUGCGAGCGUUAUCCGGAUUUAUUGGGUUUAAAGGGUCCGUAGGCGGGCCUGUAAGUCAGUGGUGAAAUCUCAUAGCUUAACUAUGAAACUGCCAUUGAUACUGCAGGCCUUGAGUAAAUUUGAAGUGGCUGGAAUAAGUAGUGUAGCGGUGAAAUGCAUAGAUAUUACUUAGAACACCGAUUGCGAAGGCAGGUCACUAAGAUUUAACUGACGCUGAUGGACGAAAGCGUGGGGAGCGAACAGGAUUAGAUACCCUGGUAGUCCACGCCGUAAACGAUGCUAACUCGUUUUUGGAUCUUCGGGUUCAGAGACCAAGCGAAAGUGAUAAGUUAGCCACCUGGGGAGUACGUCCGCAAGGAUGAAACUCAAAGGAAUUGACGGGGGCCCGCACAAGCGGUGGAUUAUGUGGUUUAAUUCGAUGAUACGCGAGGAACCUUACCAAGACUUAAAUGGGAAUUGACAGAUUUAGAAAUAGAUCCUCCUUCGGGCAAUUUUCAAGGUGCUGCAUGGUUGUCGUCAGCUCGUGCCGUGAGGUGUUAGGUUAAGUCCUGCAACGAGCGCAACCCCUGCCAACAGUUGCCAUCAUUCAGUUGGGGACUCUGUUGGGACUGCCUACGCAAGUAGAGAGGAAGGUGGGGAUGACGUCAAAUCAUCACGGCCCUUACGUCUUGGGCCACACACGUAAUACAAUGGCCGGUACAGAGGGCAGCUACCUGGUGACAGGAUGCGAAUCUCGAAAGCCGGUCUCAGUUCGGAUUGGAGUCUGCAACUCGACUCUAUGAAGCUGGAAUCGCUAGUAAUCGCGCAUCAGCCAUGGCGCGGUGAAUACGUUCCCGGGCCUUGUACACACCGCCCGUAUCACUAGUGAAUUC